AUAAAAUUAUUAUUUUAUUUUAGUUAAUAUUUUUGUUAUUAUUUUAUUUUACAUGUAAAUUUUUGUAUGAAUUAAAUUAAUUUUUAAAAAAUUAAAUUUAUAAAUAUUUAUUCGCAGUAAUUAAUAUUAAUUAAAAAAAGAAAUUUUGUAUUAGUAAUAAUAUAUAGUAUUGGUAAAAUUUGUGCCAGCUACCGCGGUUAUACAAAUAAUACAAAUAAAAAUUUUUAGUAUUAGUUAAAUGAUUAAAUUUAUAAUAUAAAUUUAAAUUUAUUAGGUGAAAUUUUUAAAUUUAUUUAUUUAUUAUUAUUAAAAAUAAUUUAAGCUAUAAACUUUUUAUAAUAAACUAGGAUUAGAUACCCUAUUAUUAAAAAUAAAUAUUUAAAUGCUAAAGUAGUAUUAGUUAUAUUCUUAAAAUUUAAAAAAUUUGGCGGUGUUUUAGUCUAUUUAGAGGAAUCUGUUCUGUAAUUGAUAAUUCACAUUGAACCUUACUUAAAUUUGUUUAAUUUGUAUAUCGCCGUCAUCAGAAUAUGUUAUAAGAUAAAAAUUUUCUAAAAAUUUAAUUUAAUAAAAUGUCAGGUCAAGGUGCAGUUUAUAUUUAAGUAGAAAUGGAUUACAAUAAUUUUAUUUAAAUGGAUAAUUUUUUGAAAUAAAGAUUUGAAGGUGGAUUUAAUAGUAAUAUAAAAGAGAUUAUUUAUAUGAUUUUAGCUCUAAAACAUGUACAUAUCGCCCAUCGUUCUUAUUUUUAAAAUAAGAUAAGUUGUAACAUAGUAGAUGUACUGGAAAGUGUAUCUAGAAAGA
rnacentral:ncRNA from 1 species